ensembl:lncRNA
GGGGACCGUCACCCACGCUAACACAACACCUCUCCCAGGCAGCAGGCAAUGUCUGGAUCCAGUUCUGAGGUGCACUUGAACUUGCCUGGAGCAGCCCUCUGAGUGGCUCUGGGAACUGUUUUCAUCACCAUGGAAACCCUCCUGACAGGGGUGAGGGUUGGGGUCUGACACUUCAUGGAAGGAAGGGAGGCCACAUCCUUAUUAGAAGCCCCUUUGCCAAUUGCAUUUUCUCAGAGGGGCAUGUAAGUUCAUUCUCCCUCCUUCUCAGAAGCAUGUUACUCCUGGGUUGUCCAACAUUGUCUCCUUUUUUUGGUUUUCUCUUAGGUGGGGGUCCCUGAGCCCAGGACCAUCCGCUGAGAACUGGAGGCUAUUCCUCUGUUCUAGGAUUCACCUUUCCACCCUCACUUAUGGCCCUUCAGCAUUAGCACUUCCCUGAGACUUACAAGCACCACCUUAACCACCCACACUGCCCAUAAAGGUAACAGACAUCUCGGUGUCACUCAAACCCUCCCAUGACUCUCUGAACCACAGAAUGACCCCUGUCAUGUUUACCAUGAAGCUUUGGCACUAAGGAGCCCAGUGACUCACUGAGUUGCCACCAGCACUCAAAGGCCCAAGUCUCUUGCCUCCUGUUCCCUCCUCCUCUAGACUGAGGCCUCCUUCCUCCUUAGAGAGGGAUGCCAGCAAAUAUACUCUCCUCUUUAUUCAAGGCAAUAUCCUCUCUAAAGAGUAAAUAGCUUUAUCUGGCUUAGAACUGGCAUUCCGCGAGAUCUUUCCACUUGCACAUUCAUAGCAUGAAACCACUAUCACACAUAACGUUGGCAAAUAAGCAUGAGUGCCUAACCAGUAAGAGAUGUUGCUUCCUGUUGCUUCUGACUCAUGCAUGAUGGACUAGCCAGUCCCCCAGGUCUGGUUUAGAAAAUGAAGUCACCAAGUGGUUAGAGGCCCCCGGCUCUAACUGUCUCUGGUUUACAUGCCACGGGAAAUCCAGGCAUUUAUUGAAAUUGAAUGGGUACCAGAGGCCUGAUCACCAGAUGGGCUGGCUACCUCCAUCUGUCCAGCUUCCUCAGAGGAUCUGUUCAGAUGAAGAUUUGAUCAUAAUGGGAGACAGGCUGGUCCAAGGUCUCUGCUCAUGAGAUGAGUGAGGAUCAAUCAGGGUCACCUUUCAGAAUCACAGUGUUUCAAAGGAGAUUGCCAAAUAAUGAACUUCUUACUGGACUGGAAAAAGGGAUGGGAAACCACAACACCCAAAAGUUGAGGGUCAGAGGAAUCUUUGAUGAGAAAGUUAUUGACAAAUCUCAUUGCACUAGAGGUUAGUUAUCAAGACCUGGUUUGGCCACCGAUUUACUCUGAAAGCUUGGGCAAAGUGGCCAUUAAGUAUGACUUCUGCCAAAAGAGAAAGACGUAGGAGGCCCCGUUGUGGCGCACAGGAAAUGAAUCCAACUAGUAUCCACGAGGAUAUGGGUACGAUCCCUGGCCUUGCUCAGUAGUCGGGGACCUGGCAUUGCUGUGAGCUGUGGUGUAGGUCACAGACUUGGCUUUGAUCCCGAAUUGCUGUGGCUAUGGCAUAGGCUGGCAGCUGUAGUUCUGAUUCAACCCCUAGACUGGGAACUUCCAUAUGCUGUGUGUGUGGCCCUAAAAAUCAAAUCAAAACAAAACAAAACAAAAAAAAGAGAGAGAUAAAGACCUAGGUGCUGAAAAAAAUAAAUAUUUUACCAUUCUGGUUGUAAAUGAGACAACUGCCUCUCUUUCCAUGCUCCCAGGCUGCCCACCAUGUGCCUAUACUGCCCACCACACGUGCGGAAAACCCAAGUACCCAGUAAAGACCUCUUGUCUAUAAUAUGCCUGAGUGUGGAGGAGAGAAACAGCAGAAUGAUGACCAGCCCCAAAGGACUCAGGGCACAAGCAUCUGGGAACCAAGUCAAACAAGUCCUACACAUCCUGCAUUUUAAACCAACCCGCAUUGAAGUGAACAUCAGCUAGGACACUGGGGCAUUGUUGAAUUUAAAUAAAAAUCAAUGCGCUUUGCAGGACAUUUUCCAUAAAAUGAUACAUCUGUAUGAACAAUCACUCACAGGGAAGACGAUGAGGGGAGUUAAGAAAGGUUUUGGCUCUGAUCUCAAACACCACAGAAGAAAAUACCAAACAAAUAUGGAAUUCUUCUCAUAUUUAAAAUUUAGAAGAUCACCAACAAGGACCUGCUAUAUAGCACAGGGAAAUCGACUCAAUAUUCUGGAAUAACCUACAUGGAAAAAGAAUCUGAAAAAGAAUAUGUAACUGAAUAAUUUUGCUGUACAGCAGAAACUAACAUAACAUUGCACAUCAACUAUACGCCAACAAAAUCUAGAAAAUAAUAAAAAUAAAUAAAUAAAAUAAAAUUGAGAAGCAGCUGAAGAAGCUAAACUUGCUUAUCCUUUAUGAAACAGUGCUUCAAGGUAGGGCAUGAUAGAUAACGCCAUAGAAAUCCUGGAAAGUAAACAAUGCUGAAAAAACAAAGGACUCCCUCUACCAAUAUUGGCUUUAAAACAAGAAAACAGCUGAGGCAGACAAAAGAUUCUCUGUGCAGAACCACUUGUCUUCCUGCCCCUUCCACUAAAAAAUAAACAAGACUUUAUGGUCGCAGAGACAGAUGUGCAACUCACCUGGCAAGUCAGGAAAUGUGAGGGGCCUCCGACCACUUCACCCCCUCUGACAAGGCUGAUAUGCAGCUGGUCAUAUCAGCCUGGCACCCUGGACACCAGAAUACUUAAAACAAGCCUUCCGGAGUUCCCAUCGUGGCUCAGUGGUUAACGAAUCCGACUAGCAACCAUGAUGCUGUGGGUUCGAUCCCUGGCCUCACUCAAUGGGUUAAGGAUCCAGCGAUGCCGUGAGCUGUGGUGUAGGUCACAGAAGCCACUCGGAUCCAACGAUGCUGUGGCUCUGGUGUAGGCUGGCAGCGACAGUUCCAAUUGGACCCCUAGCCUGGGAAUCUCCAUAUGCCAUGCAUGCAGUCAUAGAAAAGACAAGAAAAAAAACAAGCCUUUCAAGUGAAUUGGAGAAUGACUGCUGUCCUGAAUCCCUCCACAUGUCGUCUCUACCUCUCUUGUGUCUUUGGGCUCUCUCUGGGAAAUUUCUGGACCACCCCACGAUUCAGCAUCUAAAAUGCUAACAGCAGCCGCAUCAGUUUCUCCAGGACUCUGCUUCAGGCUUAUCCCCAGGACCUUGAGAUUGAGUGGUAUAUACACCUUACCACUUACUGAAUAUUACACAUCAUGCCAUCCUCCUUCCUCUCCUUGUGGUUCACAAGUCAGUGUAUCAUAGUUACUUCUUCCCAAGCACAACCACCAGCACACCAUCCCCACCCAUAUUAACCUAUUAGAGCUCUGGUUUUCAAAAUACCAUUCCAGGCUGGGUAUUUGUUUUUUUCUCCCAGAGAACAUAGCCCACAGCACAUCAAGAGUAUGGGAAGACAGGGCUUGGCAUCAGAAUAACCUGGGUGUAAAAAGAGCCCAGUUCUUCCCCAGUUUUGCAGCCAUGGCACAGCCAUGUCCCUGAGCCUCAGUUUUUUCAUGCAUAACAAGGACGACCAAGGACCCUGCAGCGUGUGGGAGGAUUAAAGAUAAUAUGUAGAAAGUGCCAAGCAUGGUGCUGGGCAACUGGUAAGAGACUGAUUAAAUGUUCUAAUGUUAUGAUCAGACUAGAAAGGGCAGUAAGUAGGAUAUCUGGAGCGAAAAUCCAUGUCUACCCUCCAAGAUACAUUCCUCCCAUUUCCUGAAUUGUCUGUCCACUGCCUCCUUAUUUAAGGCACACCCUGCUCUCAGAGCCCACUUAGAUAGAUGCUACUCUGUUGGAAAAGGAAGCGUAGUCCAGAGGUCACCUGGUGCAUUCCUUGCCUCCACAGUGUUAACAACCUACAGGACCUCAAAGCCUAGGCUGUGGACCAUCCAAAACCACCUCCUCACAUGUAAAGGAAGGACUAAAAUAUACCUGAGGCUGACACUCAGUUGACUUUGGCCUUGGAGAUCCUGAUCUUGGGACUCCAUUGAAUCAAGACCUUGCCUUGAGAACUGGCAGCCACAAAACACCAGAGUCCAGCAGGACACCACUGCCCAGAAGUGCCUGUUGCUCGCUAGGUUCUGCCUGGGAGCAAGCCUCACCUCUAGGGCCACUGAGGUGCUGCCUUUAGUGCCAAUGCCAGGAAACUUCACAAAUAAACCAGGCUGUGAUGAGAGUCUGACAAUUCGCCCUUGUCUAGACAAGCCCCAGGACAGCCCAACAUAUAUUGAAUUUUUAAAAUGUCAUAAGCUGUUUGAAAGUCAUGGUUUAUGUCUAAAAGGCUGCAAUGAUAGCAGCUACUGCCCAUUGAACAUCUUGUAGGCACCAUGCACUAUGCUCAUUCUAUUCCAUAUGUCAUUGCCAAUCACUUCAAAACAUAGCCAUUGCCUUAAUUAUACAUAUGAGGACACUGAGGCCCAGAGAGGCAAAGUAAUUUUCCCUGAAUCACACAGCCAGGAAACGAAACCAGGAUACAAACUCUGUUUUACCUUCAAAGCCCUUGUGCUUUUCAGGGUUCAUAUUUAACUCUUACUUUAGGGUGGGAAUCAUCAUCUCCCUUUUGCAAGUGAGGAAACCGAAAUGCAGGAAGGUCCACAUCUGUAAGUGGCAGAGACAGUAUAAAAGCCCAGGCAUGCUGUCUCUCUCUAAAAUGCAUGCAAGCAUGCUGACACUAAAAAUAGAAGGCUCAGCAUUUACUUCAUUUUUUUAAAAAAUGGAGGCAGGCUUGGGGGGUGAGCAGGGGAGAGAAAAUGAGUGAAUAGGAUUCAGACAAUUCAGGCUAGGCAAUCUGCAAGAGGCUGAGCAUCUCCAAUUUCCCUGGAGACCAUCCAGGGAAAUAUUCAUCUACAGGUUUCCCAGAAUCAAGUUUGCCCUCAGUCUUUGCUAUUUUUUUCAAAUGGACCUCACAGUCCCAGUUCAACUGUCUGGUUGUGGAAGCCUAUUUGUCACCUCCCUGCUUGAGCUGACGGAUUUCAGACUAUCUCCUAUUCUCCAACCUUUGGGGAUUUGAACCAAAAGGUUGCCGUUUAUUUUAAUCACACAAAUUCCUUUAUUCCUUUCAUUUCUGACCUGAUCAGUUCAAGGAGUUUUCAGUGGUCAGCACCAAAGGUCCUAUCAGACAGGAAGUCAGUUUUUGGCAAAAGGUUCACAUGUAACUCAAAUGGUCAAGGAGGAGAAGGAGGAAUUGAGGCUGGAAAGAGCCACAACCGCCGGCUGUGGGCGCCUUCCAGAAAGCUCUCUGGGUCUUGAAUUUAAUGCCGUUAUUUCAAGCAAGCAACACAACUGCCACUGUUUGAGAAUAUUAAAAGAGUAAAUAAUGACACCUUUACACCCGUAGCAGGCUCUCCCACCAAGGGGCUUCAACAGAACUGCCAUGAAACCAUCCCACACGUACUGAAAGGAAAUAAAAUCACCACUCUCACCAGCAAAAUAAAUCAGCAGGCAGUCCUUCCAGGGGGUUUCAGGGGAAGUUUGCUUGUUAAGAAGCUAAUACCAUGUAAAACGUAAAUUUAAAACAGGAAAAAAAAAAAAAA